AGCAGGCACAAAGCUAGCAGUGGCGGGACGCGAUGAUAAUCUUAUCAUUCGCGUUCCGCCACUGCUAGCUUUGUCUGUCUCCC
rnacentral:pre_miRNA from 1 species